AAAAAUGUUUACAUCAAACAUAAUGUUCUCCCAGGUGGCAUAUAUAGUAUAUAUAUAUAUAUAUAUAUAUUUUUUCCUUCAGUGGGGUAUCCAAUUGCAUUGGCAACCGACUAGUCCUCCACUGGGCCCUGACCCCCGCACCACCAAGAAGCCAGAGAUUGUUAAAGAGGGCAGAUUCGACCACACGACCUGGGCCUAAUGAGGUGAUCCCACAGCCAGCCGAUCUGCACCUGGGGUGC
rnacentral:lncRNA from 1 species